rnacentral:rRNA from 1 species
AAUUUAUUAAACAAAAUUAUUCGCCGGAGAACUACUAGCAACAGCUUAAAACUCAAAGGACUUGGCGGUGCUUUAAACCCCCCUAGAGGAGGCUGUUCUAUAAUCGAUAAACCCCGAUAGACCUCACCACCUCUUGCUAAUCCAGUCUAUAUACCGCCAUCUUCAGCUAACCCUUAAAAGGAGUAAAAGUAAGCACAAUCAUCCCACAUAAAAAAGUUAGGUCAAGGUGUAACCCAUGGGGUGGGAAGAAAUGGGCUACAUUUUCUAUUCAAGAACAACCUACGAAAGUUUUUAUGAAACUAAAAACUAAAGGUGGAUUUAGCAGUAAACCAAGAAUAGAGAGCUUGGUUGAAUUAGGGCAUGGAGCAUGCACACACCGCCCGUCACCCUCCUCAAGUGGCACAGUCAAAAUUUACACCUAUUGAAAUUUAAAUAAAACGCAAGAGGAGACAAGUCGUAACAAGGUAAGCAUACUGGAAAGUGUGCUUGGAUAAAC